rnacentral:lncRNA from 1 species
AUUCUGUACAAGUUCAUUGCUACUAGUCAAGGUGGGUGGUCUAGGUGGUAGCUGUGGAGAUUUUCAGAGCUCUGGCAAUGAGGUAUUGCUCAACUAGAGAAACUCAUUAUGUGUUGUGUGCUUCCUUUUUCACUAAAAGAACAAGAAAGGGGGAGGGGCAGAGGAAUGAAGGCAAGAAAUGAUUAGAGAAAAAAACUUAUCUGGACUUUUGCAACUUUAUCUAAUUGUUGAUAAAUUAGAACAUCUAAGAGGAAGCUAUUUAAAUUUCAAUGCAUGUGAACUAUGUUGCUUUUGAGUUAUUUCUGUUUUGAUGUAUGAAUCACAUUUACAUAAAAACUAAACUGUGAAAUUUUAAUUCAAUUCAACCCAAGCCAACAGCCUGAGAAUUUCUGGAUGGGUCUCUGUGAAGAAUAAACAAACAGGAAGAUGGUGCAGACAGGAAAAUAAGGACAGAACUCAAAAGUUCAACAUCUAUGAGCAAGUCGUAAAUAAAACAUGACUGACAAUCAAAAGCAAGGACUUGUGCCUUUUAUGUCCCAGUAACUGAAAACUGAGAAGCCACAGGUGCACCGUAGAUGUCUGACUCAGAUGGCACAAGUGGCUCUUUGGGGAAGAGACAGGAAAUUCAUCUAUGCAUCUGGAAAAAAAGACACACAAGAAGGGCUCAUUCACCAAGAAUCUUAUCAAUACUAAAGUCAUCUAUUAAACAUGUAUUGUAUACUAAAUACCGGAAGAAUUAAAGGUGAAAAAAUUACAACUUUGCUUUUUGAGAAUUAAAACUGUCAAAUUGAUUUAAGACAUGCAAGAAAUAUAAAAAUCCUGCUUGCAAAAGGCAAAAAAUGUAUCAAUAAAAAUAAAGAUCUUCACA